GAGGGCAUAGCUCAGUGGUAGAGUGCAUGCGUAGCAAGCAUGAGGUCCUUGGUUCAAUCCCCAGUACCUCCA
rnacentral:tRNA from 1 species